GGAAUGCCGGCCACCGUUACCCCGUAGGAGUUGUUCCGUGGCUCGGGACACCCGCCGCCGUCCUGAUCCGUGGAAUAGGAAAAACAGUUUCCGUCUGCCGUCGGGGCAGCGCGUGGAUUGGCUGCUAUUCGGCCGCAUUCGAUCCAUUCCCCACCCGCGCCACAGGCGAGGUCGCCGUGCCAAGGAUCCCUGCCGGCAUGCAAAGGAGCAUCCCGAGAUCUGGCUCAUGGAGUUCCUGAUGCAACCAGAGAAAAGGCCAAGCUGGGAGUGGAGAACACACGUUUGUGUCGUUCGGAGGGCCCUGCUCUGAUUCGGUUGCCAAGAUCAGAGGACAGUGGCUGGUACAUCACAGAACUCCGACGGAUCUGACGGCGCAAGGGGCGCCGGGCUCAGUUCAUGGGUCGGAUCAGUGGAUCACGUGCCUGCAACAGCCCUCAGCAGGGACGCGCAGAUCCGUGAGGAAGAAAUAGGCCGGUCGGCGAGACGGGAGGGCUCGCUCCAGGUCUCCAAACUGUCCACCAGCAAGAUGAAUCUGCAAGCACCUGACUAGACUUGUGGACAAAGAGCAUUUGAAAUUUUUUCAAGGUGAGGAUUGGAGCAGCGGCACCGAACAGGACACCUUGGCACCUUGCCCCUCCCACGUGUCUGCCUUCGAGAAAGGGCCGAUGGGUUUUGCGGAGAACCAUUCUGAAAAUGCUAUUGUACCGAUGCUUGGGACAAGUUUUGACUCGCUAGGAGAGACGUAUGUUUUCUACAACCUCUAUUCCUGGGAGAAAGGAUCUGCAAAUAAGAUAUGGGAAGAGGAGGUUGAAUGUGGAGAGAAUGAAAUGUGUACAGAAUUUGUGUGUGGACGUUCUGGUUCGUGUUGAGACAGUUUGAACAUGAGCUCUUGUUGGUAUGAGUGCCCUCGCGCUGGUGUUUUCGUUGGUGGUGAGAUAGUUUGAAAGCUUUGAGUGGGUGUUUUCUGAUUUAUAAUAUGAUGGGUGGCACGGUACCCAGGACUAAAGCACCAGGUAAUGCAUAGGUUGAUUGGUAAUGUUUUGUAUUGAUUUCUUAAUAGGUGGUGAUUUGUAGGAAGCGGUUGUUCUGGUCACGAGCACAGGUGAGUGUGGUAUUUGGGCGGCUCGAUAUGUCAUGGGGGUGCGUUGCAUUGAAUUCCUUUGCCAUCUAGUGUCUUUGUUGUUUUAUCUUCUUUCUUUCAUCACCCAAGUAAUUUUCUUUUGUGCUCAAGCAUUCCCUGUUUUCGGAGGCUAAACAUGUUGUGGCUUAAUGAUUACGCCGCUGAAAUCCUUUGAGAACAUGCUCUAACUAUCACUUAUCAUUCAUGCUUGUUAAUUCAGAUUUUCACUAUUAAUCGUAGCUCUUGAUUAUGUAGAUGUAAGCUCACAUUGUUUAAUCUCCCCUCGUUUGUUGAGUUCUGUUAUAUGUUUAAAUUGCAGGAAACAUGUUGGAAGGUGACAAGAAUAAAAGCAAUGAGCCACUUCUCACCUGAUGUGUUUAGUCUUUCGUUUUGGUAUUUUGGAACUUCUCGGAAUCAGGCUCUCCUCAGCUCAUGAUUUCAGGCUUUCAUUUUGUGAUUUUAUGACUCAUCGGUGUUCUUAAUUACUACCUCAUAAGUUCAAUUGGCUAAUACGGUUGGCAUGAACAUAGAUUGUUGCUAAAUUUCAGAGAUGCACUGUCAGUUCAGCUUUUUGUGAUUGCGGAACUGGUCGAAAUAGUUUUAUUUAGCUAGUUUAAAAAAAUUAUUUAGCUCAUAGUUUUUCUACAGAGAAAUGACCAUGUUUAUGACCAAGAAAUGGUCGAUUCAACAUUUUGGAUAUUGCAGUUCUUUUUUUGGAUA